rnacentral:piRNA from 1 species
UCCGCUGCAUUGUGACAGAAACACUGUU